rnacentral:rRNA from 1 species
AUGCAGUCGAGCGAACAGACAAGGAGCUUGCUCCUUUGACGUUAGCGGCGGACGGGUGAGUAACACGUGGGUAACCUACCUAUAAGACUGGGAUAACUUCGGGAAACCGGAGCUAAUACCGGAUAAUAUUUCGAACCGCAUGGUUCGAUAGUGAAAGAUGGUUUUGCUAUCACUUAUAGAUGGACCCGCGCCGUAUUAGCUAGUUGGUAAGGUAACGGCUUACCAAGGCGACGAUACGUAGCCGACCUGAGAGGGUGAUCGGCCACACUGGAACUGAGACACGGUCCAGACUCCUACGGGAGGCAGCAGUAGGGAAUCUUCCGCAAUGGGCGAAAGCCUGACGGAGCAACGCCGCGUGAGUGAUGAAGGUCUUCGGAUCGUAAAACUCUGUUAUUAGGGAAGAACAUACGUGUAAGUAACUAUGCACGUCUUGACGGUACCUAAUCAGAAAGCCACGGCUAACUACGUGCCAGCAGCCGCGGUAAUACGUAGGUGGCAAGCGUUAUCCGGAAUUAUUGGGCGUAAAGCGCGCGUAGGCGGUUUUUUAAGUCUGAUGUGAAAGCCCACGGCUCAACCGUGGAGGGUCAUUGGAAACUGGAAAACUUGAGUGCAGAAGAGGAAAGUGGAAUUCCAUGUGUAGCGGUGAAAUGCGCAGAGAUAUGGAGGAACACCAGUGGCGAAGGCGACUUUCUGGUCUGUAACUGACGCUGAUGUGCGAAAGCGUGGGGGAUCAAACAGGAUUAGAUACCCUGGUAGUCCACGCCGUAAACGAUGAGUGCUAAGUGUUAGGGGGUUUCCG